GACACACACAGGUACAAUCUUUGCAGGGCCAUGUGUUCUCAUAUUUAAAUUUUUUAAAAUUUUUUAAUUUAAAUUUUUAAAAAUAAAUUUUGAAAUAAUUUUAGAUUUAUGGAAAAGUUCUAAAAGUGUUACAGAAAAUGUCAUAUAUCUUUCACCCAGUUUCCCCUAAUGUUAAUGUCUCUAACAUAUAUCCAUCAAAACUCACCAGUUAACACUAGGACUUUCAUUCUGAACUCCAGAAUUUACGUGAAUUUCACCUGUUUUUCCACUAUUGUCCUUUUUCCGCUGUAGGACCCCAUCGAGAUUUCCACAUUGCAUUUAGUUGUCACGUCCCCUUCAUCAAGUGUGUGAUGAGGCAAUCCCUCAGAUGUUCCUUGUUUUUCAUGGCCUUGGUGGAUUUGAGGAGUAUUAGUCAGAUAUUUUGUAGACUGCUCCUCGAUUUUGGCUUUUCCUCAUGGUUAGUCUAGGGUGACCACUUGUUAGGAGGAAGACCACAGAGGUGCAGUGCCGUUUUAUCAUGUCGUAUCAGGGGUACUUGCUUUCAACACGACAGCACUGGUGCUGCACCUAGAGAGGCCUUUCCGGGCUACCCUAACCCAAGGAGGUGUUUCCAGCUUUUCUCACUUUAGCCUUUAGUCUUUUCUGCAGAGCACUUAUUGUAAUUGGGGGUUGUUGUUGGCGAUUUCUCUGUUUCUCUAACUAGACCUUAAGCUCUACGAGGGCAGAACUGUCUUUAUCUGCUCAUCUCUAGCACCAUGCCUGGCACAUGGCUGGCACUCAAAAUGUUUAUUUAAUAAAAAGUACAUUAUUGUUUUCCUAUGUAGAUGCACAAACAUUCUUAUUAUAAAGAUAGAUAAUACUUAUUUCUCCAUUUAUUAUCUAGUGGGAUUCUGAGAACUGUGUUCUCAUGUCCCCUUUCCUUUGCUUCAAUCUGUUUCUCCACAGCCCUGAAAUAACUGAAUGGCAAGAACAAAAUCCAAGCAAACAAAAACAAACAAACAAAAUCCUAGAAUUUGUUUGACUCUUAAUUCCCUCAAUUCCCUCAGCUGGCUUUUCCUUUUAUCUGCUUUGCAGCUGAAGACCCUAGAAUGGCCGAAGGGAGAAAUGGUCUUUCUGCAAUUCCAGGGCCAGAACCUCGCGUGGGCAAGUGCCUUCCGCUUCAGUGUGGCCACGGCCUGUGGUGAUGGAGUCGUAGUUCACCGACAAACACAUGGAGUCACAGAUGAAGAAAUCCAGGUGGUGCUUUUGAGGGGAUUUAUCCAUAAUUGUUUUCCGAGAUUGAGGUACUAAUAGAAACAGAGCUGCCUCUCUUCUUUGAGAAGAAACAAGAUCACCUUUGGAGCCCUGGUUCUGUGGAAGAUUUGAUUAAAAGUUCCAUGGAGAUCAUUCUACCAGCCUGCCUUCAAUGAAUGUGCUUAUGCACAAGAAGCCACCAAUUUAUCACCAGAAAGAAGAGCUAGAAGGAAUUUUAUCUAUAAUGUAUAUAACAUAUGCUUGCAAGGAUUCCACAUAUUUCUAGGAACAUAUUUGAUUCUAGCAUUUUCUUUCCCUACAGCGUCACAGAAAUAUUUUAGUGUCAGUGAUAAAACAGGUGACAUUUUGCCCUGAAUGAUAGUUUUCUGGGAGUGUCAAGAGAAUUAAAAAUGCCCAGUUUCAUUCAAAGAACCUGUUAACUACUUGAGGUAACAAGUAACACUGAUUAUUUUAAGAGCUCUUUCCUGGCAUGUUUUCUAACUCCUAGUCAUUAAAGGGAUGGGUGAAUAUGUGGAAAGAGAAGGUGUGAUGUAGCUUUUCGAAUUAGAUCAGAAUGAAAUCUUUCUUAUUCAAGUAGAGUAGGAAUAGCAGUAAUAAAAACAAGGCAGACAGAAAGAUUCUCCAGAAUCUUACGAAGAAUGUGAAAAUGUGGGCAGUGAUUCUUUUUUUCUUUACUUAUUUGAUUUACUAUAAAGUGUCUAUGCUUUGGAGGAUUUGGAAUCUUAUUUAAAAAGAAAAAAAAUGAAUACAUGGAAAAUAUAAAUGUAUGUCUGCCUUUUAUAAGGGGCAGUCUAGCUAGUGUGUCCUCCUCUGGGUCCCAUUUAUGCAUUGUUAUUAAUGUUUAAUUGGUGGCUUAAGUUGUAAUGUUCACUUAUAAGAUAUAUAUUAGUGAAUCUGACACCUCGGGUUUUUCAUGUAUCUCAGCCCUGUUAAAGCGGUGCUCUUGGAAAAAACACUGUUUCAAGGACAAAGGUAGUGUCUCUGCAAUGCUAUCUGCAAAGAACAUUUCAGAAACAGAGUGCCUUUCCAUGCAGCAACCUUUCACACCAACAUGAAUUCUCAUUUCCGUUUGCAGACUAUCAAGCUGCUUUGUGAUUUGGUCUGGCCACUCACCCUCAUGAUGGCCUCUGUUCUCAUAGGUUCCACAUGAGAACAACAAUUAGAAUUUCCUGGUAGCAUGAUUGUGGUCAGCCAGUCUAGGUGAGUUAAAAUCCAGCUCUGUAGUGCAAAAAGUACUCUGUUUUUAGCUAUUUCCUGUAUUCAAGAAAAUCAUACAUUACAAAAAGUACUAAAAAGUACACAUACCGUGGUGGAAUAUUUCUAAGUUUUAUUGCAAUGGCCAGUAGCCUUUGAAUUAGAAUGAAAGUAUUAUUAUAAAUUGGACUUUAUAUAGUAAUCAGCCAGGAUGAUUGAUCUAGGUAAAAUCUACGUUAUCUAGCGUUGCAUUUUGGUCAUAAAGUAUAUGACCUUUAGUUGCAAGAGCACAAAGGCAAUACAAACUCCAGAGUCUCUGCAAUCUAACAAUAUUCAUUCAAGUAGUAUUGAGUGCCUCUUAAGUGUUUGUGUUUGUGCUAGGGGCUGGAGAUACUACUAAAAAAUAAGACACAGCCCCUGUGCCUAGGAUAAAGGAGCUUAGAAUGUACUGGAUAAAAGGACACAGAGAAGAAAAGAGGUAAUUAAAGUACAGUGUUCAUGUAGUUAGCCUAUACUGACUUUGGUUUGGAGUCAGGUCUUAUUAUAAAUCUGUUGCAAUUUGCAACAGUAAAUUCUCCUAGGAAAUUAAUAUUUAAUUCCUGUCUUAUUCUAUUUGGAAUGCAAUAACAAAAUGUCAUAAACUGAGUAGCUUAUAAACAAUAGAAAUUUAUUUCUCACAGUUUUAGAGGCCGGAAAGUCCAAGAACAGGGCACCGGCAGAUUCAGUGUCUGGUAUGGGCUCGUUUGCUGGAUUGGAGAAGGUCUUCUUCUCUCUAUAAUUUCACAUGGUAGGAGGGGCAUGGGAUCUCUUUGAAACCUCUUUUAUAAGGGCCCUAAUCCCAUUUAUGAGGGUCCCACCCUCACAACUUAAUUACCUCCCAAAGACCGUACUUCCAAAUACCAUCACAUUGGGGGUUAGGUUGCAACACAGGAAUUUUUUGGGGGGAGGGUAAAUUCAGUCUUUGGUGGUUCUUCUCCCAGUUGCUUUAGGAACAGAGGAGGAAUGAUGUAGCAUAUCCUUGGGGAGUCCACUUUCUAGAUCACUUAAAAUCUUUGCCAUAUCCUCAAGGGCAGGUGGGUGUUAGUGAUAAAGGUAUUGGGCUUGAUGAGAAGGGGUACAGAGGCAAAGCCUGCGGGAGACUAUCUGGGAGAUCUGUGCCUGGCUUGUGAGAGCUGUGCUCAGACUGUGCAUUUGCCAUAAUGGGAACAUGACAUAGGGUUAAGAAUCAUCUACUUAUUGAUAUACACAGGCAGAGGCUCUCCCUGGAGUGUCUGUCUCAAGUGCGUG
ensembl:lincRNA